AACGAACGCUGGCGGCAGGCUUAACACAUGCAAGUCGAACGCUCGUAGCGAUACGAGAGUGGCAGACGGGUGAGUAACACGUGGGAACAUACCCUUUGGUUCGGAACAACGCGUGGAAACGCGCGCUAAUACCGGAUAAGCCUCUGGAGUGAUCCGGGGGGAAAGAUUGAUUGCCGAAGGAUUGGCCCGCGUCCGAUUAGCUUGUUGGUGAGGUAACGGCUCACCAAGGCAUCGANCGGUAGCUGGUCUGAGAGGAU
rnacentral:rRNA from 1 species